ensembl:lncRNA
UGAGAUGGUGGGUGGGAGGGAGGGAGGCCAGACCCCUUCAGAGCUGGGGAAGACGGCAGCUUUCAGGGUUGGGGAGGGUUUGUGCUUCACAGGGUUGGUUUCACGGUACCCUGGAGAGUUACACUCAUGGUGCGUUUUAGUCUUUGUGCUUUGAACACAGCAUGAUUCCUUUUGGCCCUCCCAUUUAAAAAGUUUAGAUAUGUUAAGGAAGAAAAAUGAGAUGAUUAUUGUGGCUUUGCCUAGGCGGGCAGGCUUAAGAGACUGACCUGUGCUCGUCUGUGCUGUUGAAGACAGAGGACUGGCAACCUCAGAGCAUCUGUCUGUCUGUCUGUCCGUAUGUCACAACCCAAGGGAAAUGAUGGUCCCUGGGCCCGAGCCACACUCACAUUGCCAAUGAAGACGCCCUGCUGUGCCACAGAACUGUGCAUGGGUGUCACCGUAGUGGUCCACAUCCCUGGAGAGGAAGGGUGGAAGGAGGUGGGGAGGGUCGAAGUUAGGCAAAAUGAAAUGAAGAGAAGGGAGAGGAGGGUGUUUGAAGAGGGGGCCAGAAACCCAGUUUCCACUUAGGAAGAACUCCUGGCGCUAAAUAACCAGAGGGCAGGAAGGGCAAGGAAGAAUUAUUAUAACUCAGUUUUUUCUCAGGCCUGAGAUUCUUGAGAAAAAAGGCCAAGCCUUUGCCCAGUGCUGGACACCAAGCUAAGUCCUUCUUUCUUGAGGCCCCCUGGCCUCCAGCUCCCUGUUGGUUGGGGGGCUUCCAAGGGCAAAUUGAGCCAUGCCCCCAACCCAGCUGGAGGUGGGAGGGACAGUGGGUGUCCCAGCUGGAUCCCUGUGGAUAUUCCCACUCCCACGGGAAAUGUGUCCUUCCACUUUCUGAGAUAAGCUGCCGAGGUCCCUCCUGGUCUGGAUGGAGGGAGGGAGUUGGUGGGGAAGGAGGUGGCAGCAAAAUAUGGACGAGAUCAUGGCCUGCAGCCUUGGGGAGUGGCGGAGUUCCAGGCACUGCUACCAGAGAGGUCAGGCCCGGGAGCUCCCCGGGUCCCCAAGCCCAGGAUGCCAGCAGCUGGGACAUGAAGAGAGUGGGGAGCCUGGCUGUCCUGCCUCCCCACCUGUCAGAGUAGAUAGGGUUCCUCCUCCCCCGCUUGUGUGUUUCCCAUUUUGGACUCUUACUCCCACCCCCAAAAGAUGUUUUUGGUUUCCAGAUCAGCCCGAUUUCAUCUGGAUACCAGGUGAGGAAUGGGGAUGGUGGUGGGAAGCAACAGAUACCUUAGUUUGCCUCAGGCCUGCAAGUCUUCCCACCCAAGCCCACGGCCCUCCCAGUGUCCUCGGGUCUAAUUGAUUGGUGGUCAGAGGCGCGCUCUGCGGUUGUCUGUGGGUUGGGGCUCCCUUCUCCAUUCUGAACAUUCCCGUGCUUGUGCGGGCGGCGGGUUGGGGGGAGUCUGUUUAUGGUUCUCCGCCGGGGGCCACGACCACCAACCAUGGGUGUAGAAGCAGCAGAACAGAUGGGUUAGUUCAGGGCCUUUGGGGCGGCUGGAGGAGGGUCUUUCACCCUGGGAAGCUGGAUCCCUUUCUAGGAAGGCUGGAGACCCUCUCUCAGGGGACAGCUGAGGGAAUUGUUCUGAGAGGGAGGAGAGGAAGACAUCUGUGCUCGGGGCCCUGACUGUGGGAGGACGGACAGAACCCCAGGCACAGGGAGCGGGAACUUCCUUUGAGCAUCUCAGCAGCUGCUCCCAGGAAGGGUUGGCUGCAUGGCACCCUCUGCGUGCUCAGCCCAGGCUGCGGGAAGAGAAGCAC